rnacentral:rRNA from 1 species
GGUUGAUCCUGCCAGUAGUCAUAUGCUUGUCUCAAAGAUUAAGCCAUGCAUGUCUAAGUAUAAGCACUUUAUACUGUGAAACUGCGAAUGGCUCAUUAAAUCAGUUAUAGUUUAUUUGAUAAUACCUUACUACUUGGAUAACCGUGGUAAUUCUAGAGCUAAUACAUGCUAAAAACCCCGACUUCUGGAAGGGGUGUAUUUAUUAGAUAAAAAACCAAUCGGGGCAACCCGUCACUAGGUGAAUCAUGAUAACUAUUCGAAUCGUAUGACUUUUGUCGACGAUGGUUCAUUCA